AGGUAACAGCUCACUCCUCCCUUUGCUCAGAGGCAGCGAUUUUGGAAGACAAGAUGGCUGCCUGCCCUCAGAAGGAAGAUUUACACUCUAGGGUGGAAUAAUUGCUCAAAAAACAGACAAGAAGAAGAAACAACAACCUGUCUCCGAGGCCUAGAGUUACCCAGAUAUGCAGCACGGUGCAUGGGAGAACAGUCCCACGGGGCCAUGCCAGUGUCUGGGAAAACUCACUCCUGAGAGGGAGAGAGGCUGCUCCAAGCCCCUGGAAAUAUGGGCAGAGGUGGGGCCUGCAGCUGGCAAAUGCUGACUGGCAAAGUCUGGCACCAACCAAGUGAGUAAAGAUGACGCUGAAGACUCAGGCCUGGACAAGAGGGAUAGUCAAAUAGUGAAGAGAGUCCAGAGGGAUUCACAUCCAGGAAAGAAAAGGCUCGGAGUCAAAGCAGAGUCCAAGGUUUGGCUGAACCACUUCACAUCGUCCUCUCAAUUUCCUCUGAGACUGAACCAGACAAAACAAACGGCACUGGGAAGGGGGGACUCCCUGUUCCACUGGAAUCCUUGGGCAGGGGGUUGUUUCCAAAUUCCUGGCUGGAUCUGCACUCCAGAUCCAUUCCCUCCAGCAGGGGAAAGUGUCACGUUUCCACAGAUGUUACCAAAUACUUUUGUUACCUUUAAAAAAAACCAAUGGAAUGUGACCAUUAUAGGAGAGCAAGAACAGCUCUCCCAGGGGCCUAUAGGGUUCCUGCCUCUGCUGCAUGGCAGGGAGGUACAAAAGCCCUAACCUUGUUUGGCAGCUGGGGCUUUUAGUGAGCAGCUUUGCUUUGAGAAGAGAAAUAAUGGAGCUGGAACGCUGAUCCCUUCUCUCUGCCACCCCAGGCACCUAUGACCGCUGUAGGAUGCAUCCAGAGCAAUUAGCAGUAGCAUCCGGCUCCUGGGCAGGGCUGAUGGAGAACCUAGGCUGGAACCCCCAAUGACCAUUCCCUUUAGUGUUGGAUACAUGGCUGGUGAAUCCAUAGGCUGUUGCACAGUCUAUUGUAGGAGUGAGGAGCUGCCAAGUGGGGGUGAGUGACAGAAAAAACCCCAGCCCUCUCUGUACAGCUGGGAUUUUCAGCAUCUCUUUUUGCUUCUGCCU